GCUGGGACAGCCAGCCCCCGGCUUUCCACCUGCUCUGCCAACUCUGGACCUUUUUCUCAGCCAGACCAGAGGGGAGGGAAGCAGGAGCAGGGAGGCAAUGGGAGGGAGAGGUGGUACCAUGCCCAGGAAACACCCUUGAGCCCACCCAGGGCACAGCUGGGAAGAGCCUGGCUCACUUACAGGGUGGGAGGACUGAUCUGGGGGUGGGGAGGAGGCAGGGGAAACCUGGGUUAUGAGGAGGGUGACAAGGUUCAUCUGCAAAAAUGAAAGAAGUUCAGUGAUGGAGCUGAGGAAAAGUGCGGCAGGCUGGCAGCAGGCCUUGUGACGACACAGCGGGGAAACCACAGGAUUCUGCAUUCUUCUGACCACAAGAGGAAGAGAUGGGAUCUUACUAUGUUGCCCAGGAUAUUCUCAAACUCUUGGCUUCAAGUGAUACUCCUGCCUUGGCCUCCCAGAUUGCUGGGAUUACAGAGUUGAAAGAUCACCUGGACCACUCCAUUCAGUUUACAGAAGACGACACUGAGGUCUCGAGUGAGGGAUUAAGUACCCAAGAUGUCACAGCAGAUAAUGGCAGAGUCAUGAUUUCUAACAAACAAACAGAAGAAGCAAGUCCCCUGCCUGUCGUCAGCCGGAGCCCCUCUGCUACGCCUGCUCCCCUGUUUCCCAUGGACUGCCUCAUCUUUUGCCUCUAGUUUGAGCCUGAAAGUUACACCUCCAAUGAAUGAAACUCACAGGAUCAUUGGCAUCCAGUCUUCCUCCUCCACACCCACUCUCGGCCACCUGCCCUUCUCAUCCACAGGUGGGAGCAAAGCUUGGUCAACCUGAUAGGCCUCUUCCAGGCAGGGACAGGAGAAGGGACGGCACAGCAGCUCUGAGUCAGGACUCCUUUCGGUAAGGCGUGGCCGCCAGGAAGGCCUGAGAGAAGGAAACCAGCCCAGGUGCGCUCUGUUUACCUUCUCGGCUCACAAACAUGACCAGACCCUCCUUGGCUGGCUGGAUGAAGUCCCAGCCACUUAGUCCAGCCCUCGAGCCUCUCCCAUUCCAGCCACAGUCUGCCUGGCCAGUUCCAUCCCCCUACGGCUUUCCUGGUGUACCACACCAUCCUCGGAUUGCAGCUCGCCCUCUUGGGCCUUUCUGGCCUAGCAGGUGCUGUUCCUUCAGCUCCAAUGCCCUUCCCUGCCUCUCCACCCGGCAAGCUCCUUCUCUUUGUAUCUUCUGCACUAACACUUCCCUCCUCCCUCCCCUUCCCCUCUUUUUCCUUUGUGCCCCGGUGGCACUUCUGAGACAAUGUUACAAGCAUAAUAAAAUAACAAAAUCAU
rnacentral:lncRNA from 10 species